GCCUCUGCCAGCAGAACCCCACUGGUCAGGCCUGAGCUGUUCUCUGAAAUGCCCAGAGGCCAAAAUGUUCUUUGAAGGAUCUCAUUUAGCUGAACUGCAAUACUGCCUCCACCUCCCUAGCUGCUGGGAUUAUACAGGUGUGGGUCACCGCAUCUGACUUCAAUGUUGUCAGCCCUGGGCGGUGUCAGGGAUGCCAGGAACAGAAGAACCAGAAGAGGCUGUUGACACGCCCAGGGAAGGGGCAGAACUGGUUAAAGCCUCAGACACCAGCCUGUCUGACCAUAGAGCCUAAGACGCGUGAAGACAGAGACUCCAUCAAACGGGGCUUACAGCUGUAUCCGCAGGGCUCAUGGGUGCUACUGUCAUGAAUACUAGUGAAAGAAGCAGAUAUCUGGAUGCCACCACUCUUUGGCUCAGUGACUGUCGGUGUCUCCCCACUGUAGUCAAGGUAUUAAACGGAGGCUUCUUGCUCUGCCCUGGAAGGAGAGUGACUGUGUCACUCACGGAACAAGCAGGGACAGAUUUUGCAGGUCAAAGGGGAUGCUGCAAACAGGUAUCUUAGAACAACAACAGCACAACAGACUUUACCCAGGUAAACUGGGAGGCAUGGCUGCCACACUUGCCUGGUCCCCAGGGAACUGUAUCCAUCUUUCUCUCUGGCUUUCUUCUCUGACCCACUCCCUCACUGAGCCAUCUGCAGUUUCGCCCUUCAACCCAGAGAAGUCCUUUGAGUAGCUAGAACUGUCCUGCUAUCAUGGCCCGCAUUGAGCACUACCUGUCCAAGAGCGCCUUCCCUGACUACACACUCCCCUCAAACCACCUUUAUCUUGAAGUUUUGACUUGUGCCCCUCCCCACCCCACUCCUUGCACUCAACUCUGCACCUGAGAUCCCAUCAUUGAAGUGGGCAAGGAGGAUGCAUUGAAUUCCCCCAGGCAUCUGUCAACUUCUGGGGAGGUGUUUCUGAGGGUAAACUGACUGAAACUCUAUCUGGGGAGGUACAGAGAGCAAGGAAGGAAAGACGACAGACUGGGCCUGCGAGGCCACCCCAGAAAUCAGAAUUACUUUCUCCUUAGUCCCCUAGUUGUUUCAUCCAAGAGAACUCUGGGGGCCAAGUCUGAAUGAAGAUUACAAACCUCCUUCCCC